AAUUCGAUGGCUCGUUUGUUUAUCUCCGUCCUAUGCCCUCACGGGUGGUGGGUCGGACGCCAGGCAAGCCUCGUGUUCCCGGCACGCCUAGCCCAGUUGCAUGGCUGCCUCGGCGCAUGAGGCUCUUCGCCCGUGCUCUCGGAUUCGGAAUGUUAUGUGCUGCGGGUGGGUGGCUCAUCGGAGGCACUCCAUCCGGUCAAGCGAGGCAUUUUGUCCAACGAGACGAACGACUGCUGCACCCGUCUUUGGGCCCGCGGCCUCACGGCUCGGCGGGGCUCAUG
rnacentral:misc_RNA from 1 species